GGAAUAGCUCAAUGGUAGAGUGUGUGCUUAGCAUGCAUGAGGUCCUGGGUUCAAUCCCCAGUAUCUCCA
rnacentral:tRNA from 1 species